UUUACCCUUACAAAUUGCUCUGUGAAUCUUGGCGCUGGCCUCCCUGCUGUUUCCCCUUCUAGAAACCCCAUCCAGCCUCCAUGCUCAGAGCGCACCAGGCAUCCACCGGUGUUUACUCACUCAAGUUCAUUCGACAUGUUCCUGCUCCCGGGCUCCCAGGCUCGGACAACGGAUCAGCACCGGGCACCGAGGCUCUGCUGACCGCUCGUCUCUAAUUCUUGCCUGACACAGACAUUCCCUGCCCAGGGAAGUGUUUGAUUUAUGUUGAGGUUUCAGUGUCAGGAUUCUGCUGACAGUGGGGAAGAGAGUGCUGGACCCAGAGUCAAAAGAUUGGAAUUUGAGUUCCAACUCUGCUGCUCAUUGGCUGUGUUGAUGUUGGGUGAAGUCCAGGCCUUGGAAUUCAG